UGGGGAAUAUUGGACAAUGGGGGCAACCCUGAUCCAGCCAUGCCGCGUGUAUGAAGAAGGCCUUUUGGUUGUAAAGCACUUUAAGCAGGGAGGAGAGGCUAAUGGUUAAUACCCAUUAGAUUAGACGUUACCUGCAGAAUAAGCACCGGCUAACUCUGUGCCAGCAGCCGCGGUAAUACAGAGGGUGCGAGCGUUAAUCGGAAUUACUGGGCGUAAAGCGAGUGUAGGUGGCUCAUUAAGUCACAUGUGAAAUCCCCGGGCUUAACCUGGGAACUGCAUGUGAUACUGGUGGUGCUAGAAUAUGUGAGAGGGAAGUAGAAUUCCAGGUGUAGCGGUGAAAUGCGUAGAGAUCUGGAGGAAUACCGAUGGCGAAGGCAGCUUCCUGGCAUAAUAUUGACACUGAGAUUCGAAAGCGUGGGUAGCAAACAGGAUUAGAUACCCUGGUAGUCCACGCCGUAAAACGAUGUCUACUAGCCGUUGGGGUCCUUGAGACUUUAGUGGCGCAGUUAACGCGAUAAGUAGACCGCCUGGGGGAGUACGGCC
rnacentral:rRNA from 1 species